GGCACUUUGGCCGAGUGGUUGUAAGUUAUCAAUUUCCUCUCUCCAAAGAUCCCCACUAAUAAAAGUGGAUUCGCAGAUGGCGUUACGUUCAGGCGGACUCUCAGGAGUCUCUUCCACGAUUCGUAAUGGAGCAAUCCGCGUGGGUUCGAGUCCCACAGGUGUCA
rnacentral:tRNA from 1 species